CGCCGCCGUCUGGGAGGCUCGGCCCGGCCGCCCGAGCAGGCCGCGCGCGGGCCGCCGGGCCCGAAGCCGGAGCCAUGGGCGAGACCAAGAUCAUCUACCACUUGGAUGGGCAGGAGACGCCGUACCUUGUGAAGCUGCCCCUGCCCGCCGAGCGCGUCACCUUGGCGGACUUUAAGGGCGUUUUGCAGCGACCCAGCUAUAAGUUCUUCUUCAAGUCUAUGGACGACGAUUUCGGAGUGGUGAAGGAGGAGAUCUCGGAUGACAAUGCCAAGCUACCAUGCUUCAAUGGCCGGGUGGUGUCCUGGCUGGUGUCAGCUGAGGGCUCACACCCAGACCCAGCCCCCUUCUGUGCUGAUAACCCAUCGGAGCUGCCACCACCUAUGGAGCGCACGGGAGGCAUCGGGGACUCCCGACCCCCAUCCUUCCAUCUCUUCCCUGCAGCCCUCAUGCUGGUGGGGGCAGCCAGGAGAACCUGGACAAUGACACAGAGACGGACUCUUUGGUGUCUGCCCAGCGAGAGCGGCCACGCCGGAGGGAUGGCCCAGAGCAUGCAACCCGGCUAAAUGGAACUGCGAAGGGGGAACGGCGGCGAGAACCAGGGGGUUAUGAUAGCUCAUCCACCCUUAUGAGCAGUGAGCUGGAGACCACCAGCUUCUUUGACUCAGAUG
rnacentral:sRNA from 1 species